GUGGGGAAUUUUGGACAAUGGGCGCAAGCCUGAUCCAGCUAUUCCGCGUGUGGGAUGAAGGCCCUCGGGUUGUAAACCACUUUUGUAGAGAACGAAAAGACACCUUCGAAUAAAGGGUGUUGCUGACGGUACUCUAAGAAUAAGCACCGGCUAACUACGUGCCAGCAGCCGCGGUAAUACGUAGGGUGCGAGCGUUAAUCGGAAUUACUGGGCGUAAAGGGUGCGCAGGCGGUUGAGUAAGACAGAUGUGAAAUCCCCGAGCUUAACUCGGGAAUGGCAUAUGUGACUGCUCGACUAGAGUGUGUCAGAGGGAGGUGGAAUUCCACGUGUAGCAGUGAAAUGCGUAGAUAUGUGGAAGAACACCGAUGGCGAAGGCAGCCUCCUGGGACAUAACUGACGCUCAGGCACGAAAGCGUGGGGAGCAAACAGGA
rnacentral:rRNA from 1 species